rnacentral:rRNA from 1 species
AGAGUUUGAUCAUGGCUCAGGACGAACGCUGGCGGCACGCUUAACACAUGCAAGUCGAACGAGAGAAGAGGAGCUUGCUUUUCUGAUCUAGUGGCGGACGGGUGAGUAACACGUGAGCAAUCUGCCUUUCAGAGGGGGAUACCGAUUGGAAACGAUCGUUAAUACCGCAUAACAUAAUUGAACCGCAUGAUUUGAUUAUCAAAGAUUUAUCGCUGAAAGAUGAGCUCGCGUCUGAUUAGCUAGUUGGUAAGGUAACGGCUUACCAAGGCGACGAUCAGUAGCCGGACUGAGAGGUUGAUCGGCCACAUUGGGACUGAGACACGGCCCAGACUCCUACGGGGGGCAGCAGUGGGGAAUAUUGCACAAUGGAGGAAACUCUGAUGCAGCGAUGCCGCGUGAGGGAAGAAGGUUUUAGGAUUGUAAACCUCUGUCUUCAGGGACGAAAAAAGACGGUACCUGAGGAGGAAGCUCCGGCUAACUACGUGCCAGCAGCCGCGGUAAUACGUAGGGAGCGAGCGUUGUCCGGAAUUACUGGGUGUAAAGGGAGCGUAGGCGGGAUCGCAAGUCAGAUGUGAAAACUAUGGGCUUAACCCAUAAACUGCAUUUGAAACUGUGGUUCUUGAGUGAAGUAGAGGUAAGCGGAAUUCCUAGUGUAGCGGUGAAAUGCGUAGAUAUUAGGAGGAACAUCAGUGGCGAAGGCGGCUUACUGGGCUUUAACUGACGCUGAGGCUCGAAAGCGUGGGGAGCAAACAGGAUUAGAUACCCUGGUAGUCCACGCCGUAAACGAUGAUUACUAGGUGUGGGGGGACUGACCCCUUCCGUGCCGCAGCAAACGCAAUAAGUAAUCCACCUGGGGAGUACGACCGCAAGGUUGAAACUCAAAGGAAUUGACGGGGGCCCGCACAAGCAGUGGAGUAUGUGGAUUAAUUCGAAGCAACGCGAAGAACCUUACCAGGUCUUGACAUCGUAUGCAUAGCUCAGAGAUGAGUGAAAUCUCUUCGGAGACAUAUAGACAGGUGGUGCAUGGUUGUCGUCAGCUCGUGUCGUGAGAUGUUGGGUUAAGUCCCGCAACGAGCGCAACCCUUACUGUUAGUUGCUACGCAAGAGCACUCUAGCAGGACUGCCGUUGACAAAACGGAGGAAGGUGGGGAUGACGUCAAAUCAUCAUGCCCCUUAUGACCUGGGCCUCACACGUACUACAAUGGCUGUCAACAGAGGGAAGCAAAGCCGCGAGGUGGAGCGAACCCCUAAAAGCAGUCUUAGUUCGGAUUGUAGGCUGCAACCCGCCUACAUGAAGUCGGAAUUGCUAGUAAUCGCAGAUCAGCAUGCUGCGGUGAAUACGUUCCCGGGCCUUGUACACACCGCCCGUCACGCCAUGGGAGUCGGUAACACCCGAAGCCUGUAGUCUAACCGCAAGGAGGACGCAGUCGAAGGUGGGAUUGAUGACUGGGGUGAAGUCGUAACAAGGUA